UGAGUAUUUCCGCUCAAAUCAGCUGUUCUGGAACCAACAAUUCAGAGUUUUCCAUCCCAGGGUAAAUCAACUCAGAGUUCAGGGUUAGACUCAGAGUAGGAUAAACCUUCUUCCUGAAACAGACCCCUGGUCAGAAUCAGGAUAACAAACUUCUUGAAACACAUGGAAUACAGAAAAAAUGUAAGUAUAUACUGUUUGUGUUCUAGUCUCUCCAUGAUGUCCUCACACUACUUGACAUUAGUUGUAGUUAGAUAGUUGUCUUUAUCGUCUGCUGACACAGCAGAGACUCCAAAUCCCAAAAUGGCCUCCCAGCUCAGGGCCGUUUGGUCUGGGGAAGUUUAGUCACGUACGUGCAGUGCAACAGGUUGAGGCUGUCUGCUGCAAUGUGAGCACAGGAAACAGUUCUCUGUUACCAAGAAGAAGGAAGUCUUCAGGUAUUGUCACAUUUGCGUUGACGCCACACUUUACAUCACCGCACACUAUUGAGCCAAGCCGCACUGGUAGCGGUGAAGAUGUUUUUUUACCUGAAAAUUAAAAAAA